CUGGGUCCACAACAGCCCGAAGGCAUGGGAUCUGCUGGGAAUUUAGAAGCUAAGCAGGGUCAGGCCCAGUUAGUGCUUGGAUGGGAAACCGCCUGGGACUAUCGUGUGCCCCCCAGC
rnacentral:rRNA from 1 species